rnacentral:rRNA from 1 species
AUGGGAUAUCGCGGGACCAGAGAUGGUCUUUCAGUUCGGCUGGAUAUCACACAGGUGCUGCAUGGCUGUCGUCAGCUCGUGUCGUGAGAUGUUCCGGGUUAAGUCCCGGGCAACGAGCGCAACCCACGUCCCCAGUUGCCAGCGGUUCGGCCGGGCACUUUGGGGAAACUGCCGGUGAUAAGCCGGAGGAAGGUGUGGAUGACGUCAAGUCCUCAUGGCCCUUACGGGUUGGGCUACACACGUGCUACAAUGGUGGUGACAAUGGGUUAAUCCCCAAAAGCCAUCUCAGUUCGGAUUGGGGUCUGCAACUCGACCCCAUGAAGUCGGAAUCGCUAGUAAUCGCGUAACAGCAUGACGCGGUGAAUACGUUCCCGGGCCUU